UUAUCGGUGAUGGAUGGGGAUGCGUCUGAUUAGCUUGUUGGCGGGGUAACGGCCCACCAAGGCGACGAUCAGUAGGGGUUCUGAGAGGAAGGUCCCCCACAUUGGAACUGAGACACGGUCCAAACUCCUACGGGAGGCAGCAGUGAGGGAUAUUGGUCCAUUGGCGAGAGCCUGAACCAGCCAAGUAGCGUGCAGGAUGACGGCCCUAUGGGUUGUAAACUGCUUUUAUAAGGGAAUAAAGUAGUCUCGUGAGACUUUUUGCAUGUACCUUAUGAAUAAGGACCGGCUAAUUCCGUGCCAGCAGCCGCGGUAAUACGGAAGGUCCGGGCGUUAUCCGGAUUUAUUGGGUUUAAAGGGAGCGUAGGCCGGAGAUUAAGCGUGUUGUGAAAUGUAGACGCUCAACGUCUGCACUGCAGCGCGAACUGGUUUCCUUGAGUACGCACAAAGUGGGCGGAAUUCGUGGUGUAGCGGUGAAAUGCUUAGAUAUCACGAAGAACUCCGAUUGCGAAGGCAGCUCACUGGAGCGCAACUGACGCUGAAGCUCGAAAGUGCGGGUAUCGAACAGGAUUAGAUACCCUGGUAGUCCGCACGGUAAACGAUGGAUGCCCGCUGUUGGUCUGAAUAGGUCAGCGGCCAAGCGAAAGCAUUAAGCAUCCCACCUGGGGAGUA
rnacentral:rRNA from 1 species